rnacentral:rRNA from 1 species
UACGGGGGGGCAAGCGUUGUUCGGAAUUACUGGCGUAAAGGGCGCGUAGGCGGCCACUGCAAGUCAGUUGUGAAAUCUCCGGGCUUAACCCGGAAAGGUCAACUGAUACUGCAGGGCUAGAGUGCAGAAGGGGCAACUGGAAUUCUCGGUGUAGCGGUGAAAUGCGUAGAUAUCGAGAGGAACACCUGCGGCGAAGGCGGGUUGCUGGGCUGACACUGACGCUGAUGUGCGAAAGCCAGGGGAGCGAACGGG